rnacentral:rRNA from 1 species
AUUGAACGCUGGCGGCAGGCUUAACACAUGCAAGUCGAGCGGGGAGAUGUAGCUUGCUACAUUUCCUAGCGGCGGACGGGUGAGUAAUGCUUAGGAAUCUGCCUAUUAGUGGGGGAUAACAUUCCGAAAGGAAUGCUAAUACCGCAUACGCCCUACGGGGGAAAGCAGGGGAUCUUCGGACCUUGCGCUAAUAGAUGAGCCUAAGUCAGAUUAGCUAGUUGGUGGGGUAAAGGCCUACCAAGGCGACGAUCUGUAGCGGGUCUGAGAGGAUGAUCCGCCACACUGGGACUGAGACACGGCCCAGACUCCUACGGGAGGCAGCAGUGGGGAAUAUUGGACAAUGGGCGAAAGCCUGAUCCAGCCAUGCCGCGUGUGUGAAGAAGGCCUUUUGGUUGUAAAGCACUUUAAGCGAGGAGGAGGCUACUUGGAUUAAUACUCUAGGAUAGUGGACGUUACUCGCAGAAUAAGCACCGGCUAACUCUGUGCCAGCAGCCGCAGUAA